rnacentral:lncRNA from 1 species
GAUCUUGGACCCAUGCUGCAAUUUCAGCCACUGCUGCUCCUUCCCCUUGCUGUGUCUGGGGAUGAACUGUUGGUAGCCCCUUGUGCUGCCCACCCUGCUCAGGACCCUGGGUCCCUGGCAGCUCCAUGCUCCUUUGCGUCUUGCAGAGAAGCUCUGCUUUUCCUGUUUCCUGAUGUGGAACCUGUUUCUGGCCCCAUGGCGUUACGUACAUUUAAGGAAUCAAAACUAUUCCAAUCAGUUCCUCCCACGAAGCUACAGAAGAGCUAAAGGGAACAGUGCAUGCUUCGUGUGAAUGAAGAACAUUGCUGAUCCACAGCUAGGUAAGAGGAAAGGAAACUUUCUAUAAUAUAUGCUUCUCAGCCACAACUCGGAGCAGUCAGUAUCAACCCAGGGACAGCUCCACCCACUUAAUCACUUUUAUAAUUUAUAUACACUGUUGUAGCGGCAUUUAUUUUUUUCCUUUGCCCAAUCUAUACUUACCUAUUAAAGUGUAUGAUUCUUGAGUCUAGUUUGAUUUAAAAAUCAAAUUUCUGUCAGUGAUGUUCUGUCU